CGCACCGUAAAACGGGUCCCUCCUCCUGAGGACCCAAACUCUAAUGUUUCUUAUUGUAACUUUUGAGUAAAACAAACAAAUAAAUCAAAACUUUCAACAACGGAUCUCUUGGUUCUGGCAUCGAUGAAGAACGCAGCAAAAUGCGAUAAGUAAUGUGAAUUGCAGAAUUCAGUGAAUCAUCGAAUCUUUGAACGCACAUUGCGCCCGCUGGUAUUCCGGCGGGCAUGCCUGUUCGAGCGUCAUUUCCAACCCUCAAGCCCCCGGGUUUGGUGUUGGGGAUCGGCUCUGCCUUCUGGCGGUGCCGCCCCCGAAAUACAUUGGCGGUCUCCCUGCAGCCUCCAUUGCGUAGUAGCGAACACCACGCAACUGGAACCCGGCGCGGCCAUGCCGUAGAACCCCAACUUCUGAAUGUUGACCUCGGAUCAGGUAGGAAUACCCGCUGAGGUUUUUUC
rnacentral:rRNA from 1 species